UACGUAGGGGGCAAGCGUUGUCCGGAAUCAUUGGGCGUAAAGAGCGUGUAGGCGGCCCGCUAAGUCCGCUGUGAAAGUCCAGGGCUCAACCCUGGAAUGCCGGUGGAUACUGUCAAGCUCGAGUCCGGAAGAGGAGUGUGGAAUUCCUGGUGUAGCGGUGAAAUGCGCAGAUAUCAGGAGGAACACCAAUGGCGAAGGCAGCACUCUGGGACGUGACUGACGCUGAGACGCGAAAGCGUGGGGAGCAAACAGG
rnacentral:rRNA from 1 species